rnacentral:rRNA from 1 species
UACGUAGGCAGCAAGCGUUGUUCGGAGUUACUGGGCGUAAAGCGCGUGUAGGCGGCUUGGCAAGUCGGAUGUGAAAGCCCUGGGCUCAACCCAGGAAGUGCAUUCGAAACUGCCGAGCUGGAGUCCUGGAGAGGAAGGCGGAAUUCUCGGUGUAGAGGUGAAAUUCGUAGAUAUCGAGAGGAACACCGGUGGCGAAGGCGGCCUUCUGGACAGUGACUGACGCUGAGACGCGAAAGCGUGGGGAGCAAACAGG